CCUCGAAAGCUAUUUAGGUAGCGCCUCAUGUAUCACUGUAGGGGGUAGAGCACUGUUUCGGCUAGGGGGUCAUCCCGACUUACCAAACCGAUGCAAACUCCGAAUACCUACAAGUGCCGAGCAUGGGAGACACACGGCGGGUGCUAACGUCCGUCGUGAAAAGGGAAACAACCCAGACCGUCAGCUAAGGUCCCAAAGUCAUGGUUAAG
rnacentral:rRNA from 1 species